GUGGGGAAUUUUGGACAAUGGGCGCAAGCCUGAUCCAGCCAUGCCGCGUGCAGGAUGAAGGCCUUCGGGUUGUAAACUGCUUUUGUACGGAACGAAAAGACUCUUUCUAAUAAAGAGGGUCCAUGACGGUACCGUAAGAAUAAGCACCGGCUAACUACGUGCCAGCAGCCGCGGUAAUACGUAGGGUGCGAGCGGUAAUCGGAAUUACUGGGCGUAAAGCGUGCGCAGGCGGUGAUGUAAGACAGAUGUGAAAUCCCCGGGCUCAACCUGGGAACUGCAUUUGUGACUGCAUCGCUGGAGUGCGGCAGAGGGGGAUGGAAUUCCGCGUGUAGCAGUGAAAUGCGUAGAUAUGCGGAGGAACACCGAUGGCGAAGGCAAUCCCCUGGGCCUGCACUGACGCUCAUGCACGAAAGCGUGGGGAGCAAACAGGAUUAGAUACCCCUGUAGUCC
rnacentral:rRNA from 1 species